GGGGACAACCCAGGGAAACUUGGGCUAAUACCGAAUGAGAGCAUCUUCGGAUGUUUAAAAGAUGGCGAAAGCUGUUGUUUGAGGAUGAGCCUGCGUCCCAUUAGUUAGUUGGUAAGGUAAUGGCUUACCAAGGCGAUGAUAGGUAGGCGGCCUUAACGGGUGGUCGCCCACACUGGGAUUGAGAUACGGCCCAGACUCCUACGGGAGGCAGCAGUCGAGAAUAGUCUACAAUGGCCGAAAGGCUGAUAGUGCGACGCCGCGUGAACGAAGAAGCCCUUCGGGGUGUAAAGUUCUUUUAUAUGUGAGCAAUGCCUUUUAUGUGAAUAGCAUGAGAGGAGCGAUAUUAGCAUAUGAAUAAGCAACGGCUAACUCCGUGCCAGCAGCCGCGGUAACACGGGGGUUGCAAGCGUUGUCCGGAAUUACUAGGCGUAAAGGGCAGGUAGGCGGAUAGAUAAGUUUUUUGUCAAAGGCGACGGCUCACCCGUCGUAAGGCAGGAGAUACUGUUUAUCUGGAAUGCGGUUGGGGAAGACAGAAUUCCUGGUGUAGCGGUGGAAUGCGCAGAGAUCAGGAGGAAUACCGAANGCGAANGCAGUCUUCUAAGCCGUUAUUGACGCUAAAC
rnacentral:rRNA from 1 species